rnacentral:lncRNA from 1 species
UGGGUGCAGGGCAGCGGUCGGAGUGGAUGGCCCAGGAAAGUAAGACCAUAGCAUGUAAGAUCUUGCUCAUCCACAGAUAUCACUAUAUACAGCAAUUCUGAUUCUUCAAACAUCGUCUCCACAGAGCUGUUCAUCCUGUGGCAUGCUUAGCUGUUUCCACACUGCUUUGCAAUGAAGAUUCAUUACUGUAUCUUAAUGUUUCUCUUUCUGGGCCUGUUGUUAAACUCAGGAAGUGAAGAUAUUCCCGAAGUCAACAGUACCCUGGACUGUAAAAAUCAAACGCUGUGUAGUUCGGAGAAUACAAAUGGAGACUGCUCUGAUGUUCAGAAAGUGGGGCUGUGUGUCUUACGUCUUAGUCAAACUCCUCAGCAACAGACCUAAAGAAAUUGGGUACAAGGAAUGCAAGAGGAUCACCUCCUUUGAUGCAUUAAAUUAGGA